rnacentral:rRNA from 1 species
UACGUAGGGUGCAAGCGUUGUCCGGAAUUAUUGGGCGUAAAGAGCUUGUAGGCGGUUUGUCGCGUCUGCUGUGAAAUUUCGGGGCUCAACCCCGAACUUGCAGUGGGUACGGGCAGACUAGAGUGCGGUAGGGGUGACUGGAAUUCCUGGUGUAGCGGUGGAAUGCGCAGAUAUCAGGAGGAACACCGAUGGCGAAGGCAGGUCACUGGGCCGCAACUGACGCUGAGGAGCGAAAGCAUGGGGAGCGAACAGG